rnacentral:rRNA from 1 species
UGGGGAAUAUUGGACAAUGGGCGCAAGCCUGAUCCAGCCAUGCCGCGUGAGCGAAGAAGGCCCUAGGGUUGUAAAACUCUUUCAGCGGGGAAGAUGAUGACGGUACCCGCAGAAGAAGCCCCGGCUAACUCCGUGCCAGCAGCCGCGGUAAUACGGAGGGGGCUAGCGUUGCUCGGAAUUACUGGGCGUAAAGGGCGCGUAGGCGGGAUGCCAAGUUAGGCGUGAAAGCCCCGGGCUUAACCUGGGAACUGCGCUUAAUACUGGUAACCUAGAGUCCGGGAGAGGGUGGUGGAAUUCCCAGUGUAGAGGUGAAAUUCGUAGAUAUUGGGAAGAACACCAGUGGCGAAGGCGGCCACCUGGACCGGUACUGACGCUGAGGCGCGAAAGCGUGGGGAGCAAACAGGAUUAGAUACCCCCGUAGUCC